CUUUUCUUGUUAGUUUUUGAAGUAUGGCCUGCCCACUGACUUAGGAGUUGAAGGGCCGCGGUAUUUUGACCGUGCAAAGGUAGCAUAAUCAUUAGUUCUUUAAUUGUGAUCUGGUAUGAAUGGCUUGACGAGACAUGGGCUGUCUUGAUGGAAUUGUUUGUUGAAUUUGGUUUUUGAGUUAAAAUUCUUAGAUGUUUUUAUGGGACGAGAAGACCCUAUAGAGUUUAACAUUUUGCUUAUUGGUGAGGAUUAGGUUUGUUGUAAUGUUUUAGUAGGCUAAUUGUUUUGUUGGGGUGAUGGGAGGAAUUUUUGAAACUCUUCUUUAUUUAAUAUAUUUAUCUAUAUUUUUUUGAUCCAUUAAUUUUGAUUAUAAGAUUAAAUUACCUUAGGGAUAACAGCGUUAUCUUCCUUGAGAGUUCUUAUUGGCGGGAAGGUUUGCGACCUCGAUGUUGGAUUAAGAUGAAUUUUCGGUGCAGGAGCUGAAAUUGAUUAGGUCUGUUCGACCUUUAAAAUCUUACA
rnacentral:rRNA from 1 species